UUCCCCUUAGCUUAGGUUUAAAGCGUUAAUUUGAAGAGUUAAAGUUAGUUUAAUUACUAGGGGAAA
rnacentral:tRNA from 1 species